CUCGGUGACAAGCUCGCUCUGCUUCGGCACCGAGAUGUCCUUCAGCCAGUGGAAGUCCUCCCGAUCUUCAGCCUCCACCCGACUGUUCUCGUUCGGCUCGGUUCGGGGAUUCCCCCAACGGACGGAAAACCCCCAAGGAGCGGAAGACGACGCAAAGAAGAACUGGUUCUUCCAUCCGUGAAUGGAUGAUGGAAGACCAGUAAUGAAGGAGAGCCCUUUCCGAGGAACAAAGUACCACCACCCUCGGGCUUUAGGGUGGGGUCGGAGGAUGAAGAAGACUCGAAAAAGGGAGAUCCGGGGUUCAGUCGGC
rnacentral:lncRNA from 1 species